rnacentral:rRNA from 1 species
GACGAACGCUGGCGGCGUGCUUAACACAUGCAAGUCGAACGAUGAACCCGGAGCUUGCUCCGGUGGAUUAGUGGCGAACGGGUGAGUAACACGUGAGUAACCUGCCCUUGACUCUGGGAUAACUGCGGGAAACUGUAGCUAAUACCGGAUACGACCCUCGGCGGCAUCGCCAGGGGGUGGGAAGAAUCUCGGUCAAGGAUGGACUCGCGGCCUAUCAGCUAGUUGGUGAGGUAACGGCUCACCAAGGCGACGACGGGUAGCCGGCCUGAGAGGGUGAACGGCCACACUGGGGCUGAGACACGGCCCAGACUCCUACGGGAGGCAGCGGUGGGGAAUAUUGCACAAUGGGCGCAAGCCUGAUGGAGCAACGCCGCGUGAGGGAUGACGGCCUUCGGGUUGUAUACCUCUUUUAGUAGGGAAGAAGCGAAAGUGACGGUACCUGCAGAAAAAGCACCGGCUAACUACGUGCCAGCCGCCGCCGUAA